rnacentral:lncRNA from 1 species
GUCCUAACUGGACUAUUCCCCGCUGGUCUCUAGCCGCCAUCGCCUCUUAGAUGCUAGUGUCAGAGGAGAGUCUCCAGAUGAGAGCCUCUCCUAGAUCAGACACAGAGGGCAGAAGAAAUCCACAUGCAGGAAAGCAUGGUAUCAUUCAGAAGGAGAGCAGUGCCUGCCAGAGCAAAUGUUUACUGCAUGCCCAUGGUGAGAAAACUGAGCAGCUUCAGAUAUGAAAGGAAGCAAAACCACGAUGAUCUCAGGACCUGAAGUCAAAUUUGCAAUGACAAUACAUCAUGGCCUUAAAUUGGCAGUUGCAGAGUGUAAUCAGUGUUCCAAGAGAAGUUUGUACCGUGUUACUACAGGGGAUUCCUGGUGUCGCAAUCAGUGGAGCAAGAUAAGUGAGAUUCAAGAUGUA